rnacentral:rRNA from 1 species
CCCAGGGGACGUGGAUAACCUCGGGAAACUGAGGAUAAACCGCGAUAGGCCAAGGUUUCUGGAAUGGACCAUGGCUGAAAUCUAUAUGGCCCCUGGAUUGGACUGCGGCCGAUCAGGCUGUUGGUGAGGUAAUGGCCCACCAAACCUGUAACCGGUACGGGCUUUGAGAGAAGGAGCCCGGAGAUGGGCACUGAGACAAGGGCCCAGGCCCUAUGGGGCGCAGCAGGCGCGAAACCUCUGCAAUAGGCGAAAGCCUGACAGGGUCACUCUGAGUGAUGCCCGCUAAGGGCAUCUUUUGGCACCUCUAAAAAUGGUGCAGAAUAAGGGGUGGGCAAGUCUGGUGUCAGCCGCCGCGGUAAUACCAGCACCCCGAGUGGUCGGGACGAUUAUUGGGCCUAAAGCAUCCGUAGCUUGUUCUGCAAGUCCUCCGUUAAAUCCACCUGCUCAACAGAUGGGCUGCGGAGGAUACUACAGGGCUAGGAGGCGGGAGAGGCAAGCGGUACUCAGUGGGUAGGGGUAAAAUCCUCUGAUCCACCGAAGACCACCAGUGGCGAAGGCGGCUUGCCAGAACGCGCUCGACGGUGAGGGAUGAAAGCUGGGGGAGCAAACCGGAUUAGAUACCCGGGUAGUCCCAGCUGUAAACGAUGCAGACUCGGUGAUGGGUUGGCUUCGCGCCAACCCAGUGCCGCAGGGAAGCCGUUAAGUCUGCCGCCUGGGGAGUACGGUCGCAAGACUGAAACUUAAAGGAAUU